CCUGAAAUGAGAAAAAAGUCUGUCGGCACGGACCGUGCACAGAAUGUUUUUCUUAAGCAAAACACUAUGACCACCAUUUGCAUAGCAUUUAUGUUAUGUUGAUAGGAACGGGAAAUACUGAAGCAGAACGACAGCUGGUGGGCUCAAGCCUUGAAGAGCUGGCACAUUGCGUGGUACUGUGACUUGUCAGUUGGUGGCUCUCCGAGAAAAUUUGGCCAACAUCUAUGUGCUACCAAUGCAAGAGCCAAAGCUGGUUCGUAGAAAACAUCGGCUUGACCUGGAGAGGACAGAAGAAGUUGAUGUGUGGCUGUGGGAUCUUAGACUCUUCUUUGGUCUCCUGGUGGACAACCCCGGAAGUGCUCUAAGAAGGGAACCAAACUCUCAGGAGCACUGAUUCAGGAAAAGUUUCACUAGAACCGUGGCUACCAGUGUCUGGAAAGGGUUCCAGAAGACUGCAAGGCCAGCAUCCAGGUGCUCACCCUCUCUGUCUUGCUGAGCUCAUCCAUGGGAUGACUAGAGCCCAGGACGGCCUUUCUCUAGGAGUCUACACCAGGUGCACUGUGGGGAGGUGUGUCACACUGGGGCUCUGGAAGGAGGAGGCGGGAAGAAGCAGGGAGGUCUAUGGCCGGAGAGUAGCCCGGUUAGGGGGCAGUUGCGGCAGUCAAGAAACUGGAUGAGGAUGAUGCACGUGGAAGAACUCUGCGUGCAUGGUGUGUGUGGGGUCAACGCUGAAAAGAGCCGCAGGCUGGCUUGGUUUGCAGACUGAGGCAGUAAGGAAAGGCAGACCAGGACUACAUAAUUCACUCUGCUGCUGAUAGUUUAUCUCAUCCCUCCAGCAAAGCAGGAACGUGCAGCGUGGAGCCUUCCUGUACUGACUGUGAACCGUAGAUUCUCCUGAAAUAGAAUUUUAGAAUUGUGAAGUGACCAGUGACGGUGGGGAUAUAGCCCGGUGUUGUCCACAGUACCAACCAAUUCACAGGAAUCAGCAUGCUCAUGUGAGCACACACACACACAUCACUCACCAGACAGACACACUGCACACAUCCUCACCCACCACACA